rnacentral:misc_RNA from 1 species
UUUCCGUAGGUGAACCUGCGGAAGGAUCAUUAUUGAAUAUGCUUGAUAGGUUGUAGCUGGCUCUUCGGAGUAUGUGCACGCUUAUCUUGACUUAAUUCAUCCACCUGUGCACCUUUUGUAGUCUUGGGGGUUGAGAUCGGUCGACUAUCGGAUGGCCAAGGUCAUUCCGGAUGUGAGGAAUGCUGAGUGCGAAAGCAUACAGCUCUUCUCAAAUGACUCGUCUUCCUCGAGUACUAUGUAUUCAUAUACCACAUAGUAUGUUGUAGAAUGUGAUCAAUGGGUCUAUGUACCUAUAAUAAUCAUAUACAACUUUCAGCAACGGAUCUCUUGGCUCUC